UACGUAGGGCGCAAGCGUUAUCCGGAAUUAUUGGGCGUAAAGAGCUCGUAGGCGGUUUGUCGCGUCUGCCGUGAAAACCUGCAGCUUAACUGUGGGCUUGCGGUCGAUACGGGCAUCACUGGAGUUCGGCAGGGGAGACUGGAAUUCCUGGUGUAGCGGUGAAAUGCGCAGAUAUCAGGAGGAACACCGGUGGCGAAGGCGGGUCUCUGGGCCGAUACUGACGCUGAGGAGCGAAAGCGUGGGGAGCGAACAGG
rnacentral:rRNA from 1 species